rnacentral:lncRNA from 1 species
CAAAGUUAAAAGUAUAUGUGAAAUGAAAUGUGUAGGUUGAUUUAUCAUAUUAUCAAUUAUGAACAAUAGCUCCAAAUAAUAAUUGUAGAACACAUUCUAAUACUUCAAUUUCUUUAAAAUAUAAAAUAUGUCAAGCAUGUUUCUCUUUAUGGAAAUAAUAAUCAUGUACACCAUAAGAGUUUUUAAAUAGCAUACAAGCUUCUAACACCAACCCCUUUCUUUAAUAAUUUGAUUUUUUUUUUUUUUUUCUUUUUGGUUCUUUCAAUUCUUGUUUGCACUUGUGCUCAAGAGUAUGGAGUGGAGAUUGAUAUUGGUUACCAUCCUAUGAUGGUUGAACUAAAAAAGAUAAUAUAAAUAGUUCCUAGAUGGGAGUGGAAAUUUUGAAUCUUUGAUUUGUGGAACGAGUUGAGCUAAUGAUCUCAUAAUUAAGAUGGGUCAACUUAAACUUAUAUAUUAUGUCUUUUUUGGGAAUGACAGACAGACAAGGCUUCUAUGCUGGAUGAGAUCAUAGACUAUGUAAAGUUCCUCCAGCUUCAAGUCAAAGUAAAUGAUCUCUCUAAUUUUCUAUUCUCUGUCUCUCACAAUAAUUCCAACGUAAAAACAUGAUAAAUUAAAUUAAAGAAUUUGGAUUGGGAUAUGAAAUUUAUUUAAUGUAUACAUAUAUUAAGUGGGUUUUGCUUUUUGUUAUUGUUGGGUUUGUGGUCUGCUGCAGGUUCUGAGUGUCAGCAGGUUGGGCGGUGCCACUGCAGCCAUGCCUUCUCGUCUACCCGAUCUUUCCACUGAGGUACCCUAAUAUUGCUUCAAAUUACAAAUUUGGUUCAAGUGAAAUUUUUAUAUCCUCCUCUGAAUAACUAUUUGAUUUUUAAAAGAAAUCUAUUAACCAUCAUAAUUGUUUUUUAAAAUUUAAGAGUCUGUAACCAUCAUAACCAUAUUUGGUUUAAAGUUAUUAAACCAGAUCAAAAUUUGCAAUACAAUUUUUUUUUUUUUACCUUAUCCAUACUUUUUUUUGGAGUCAUGAAAAGGAUAGCAUAAUAAGGACCCAUUGAAACUACUUUAGGUGAAGAAAAUUCAACUCUCCACAACAAAAAAAUUCACACACAACCAUCAUCAUUCAUCAUGGAAAAGGACGCAUGAGAUAAUCCUUAAUUCAUGAAUAUUGAUAAUAUAAGAUUUCAUUAUCAAGUAUCCACU